UUGUUGCAGUUAAAAAGCUCGUAGUUGAACCUUGGGUCUGGCUGGCCGGUCCGCCUCACCGCGAGUACUGUCCGGCUGGACCUUUCCUUCUGGGGAACCUCAUGGCCUUCACUGGCUGUGGGGGGAACCAGGACUUUUACUGUGAAAAAAUUAGAGUGUUCAAAGCAGGCCUUUGCUCGAAUACAUUAGCAUGGAAUAAUAGAAUAGGACGUGCGGUUCUAUUUUGUUGGUUUCUAGGACCGCCGUAAUGAUUAAUAGGGAUAGUCGGGGGCGUCAGUAUUCAGCUGUCAGAGGUGAAAUUCUUGGAUUUGCUGAAAACUAACUACUGCGAAAGCAUUCGCCAAGGAUGUUUUCAUUAAUCAGGGAACGAAAGUUAGGGGAUCGAAGACGAUCAG
rnacentral:rRNA from 1 species